rnacentral:rRNA from 1 species
UACAGAGGUCCCGAGCGUUGUUCGGAUUCAUUGGGCGUAAAGGGUGCGUAGGCUGCGCGGAAAGUUGGGUGUGAAAUCCCUCGGCUCAACCGAGGAACUGCGCCCAAAACUGCCGUGCUCGAGGAAGAUAGAGGUAAGCGGAACUUACGGUGGAGCGGUGAAAUGCGUUGAUAUCGUAAGGAACACCUGUGGCGAAAGCGGCUUACUGGGUCUUUUCUGACGCUGAUGCACGAAAGCUAGGGGAGCAAACGGG